GUCCUUCGCCAUCAUCCUCAAGUUGUGUGCUCCCAAUAAAGUGUGUUCUAAGAAGAAUCCUGUUGUGGUCGUCUCUUCUGCUGGCGGACGUGGCGUGCCACAGUCUCCAAAGUUACAGCCUAGUGAAAAAGAGCUUACUUGAUGUGAAAAGACACUGAAUUUAGAAUCCCAGCAAAGAACCAGAGAGGGGAGAGAAAAUACUGUUUUCCUCCUCCAUGGUGUCUUGUGGAGCCAGUGAGAUCCCGUGCAGCUAACGGUUUGCAUGUGAUGUGCUCUGUUUCACAACCGGCCAAGAAGCAAACAUCAAAGAAAUCCCAUUCCAGAGACGAAGACUUCAAGAUGCAGAAAGGAACUUUCCCAAACCUGGCUGAAGGACCAAGGACUAAACCAGGGUCAUGAAGAUCUAGAGGAAUCUGACUGCAGUUGGCUCCAGUGUCAGCCCUUGCGACUUCUUUUGAUUCCAGCACACCUCUGAAUGAGGAAGGCCCUCAUUAAAGAGGCAUCUACUUGUACUGAAUUAGACAUAAAAUGGGCUUCCAUGAUGGCAAGAAAAGGAGAAACAAAAGCUUCACUUCCCACCAAGGUCAAGGCCAUUGCUGCUUUGCUCAAUCUACUCUUUUUCUAAAGCACGUAUCCUUGCUCAAUAAAAUUUAACUCUGACUGAUUCCUUUA